AUGGCGGAAGCAAACCUGCGCAAACAACUGAAGCUGCGCCUGCUAGGACUAGCUGUCAUCGAGAGAGCGAGAAAGCGUCAAACUUCCUGCAUUUCAUGGCUGAGGGGUGGUGACGCCAACACAAAAAUAUUCCACGCAAAGAUCAACUCCCGUCGGAGGAAGAAUUUCAUCCAUGCCCUCAAGCAAAGAGAGGAGAUCGUCACUGCACAUAAGGAUAAAGAUGAGGUCAUCCAUGACUAUUUUUCUCAAAUUAUUGAAUCAUGGGAGCCGAGAGAAAUAUAAAUCAAUUGGACUGAGCUACAAAUGCCUGCACUGGAUGCUGACGGCCUAGACCUACCAUUUACCGAGGCUAAAGUUUGGAAUGGAAUUAAGCUCACCCCUGCAGAAAAAUCGCCACCGCCAGAUUAG
rnacentral:rRNA from 1 species